UGAACAUGAAGCUACUGAAUGAUGAUUUAUGGCUGGAAUAAUCACUGCCAUGAGCCCCUCUGGAACAUGCAGCUGGAAUUAGAAUUCCUGAGGAGGAAUCCUAAGUGAAGGGCUGCAGCAAGCUACUCUGGAUACUUGAAGCCAAAUCCCCCUCUGUAAGAUUGAUGGAUGGGUAACUCAACUCAUGGUCUAAAUGGACUUUUUUGAGUUAAUGGAUUGGCAUGCCAGCCUCCUGCCACCUCUAAUCCCAAUUCUGCAGCAGGUUGAUGUGAGACUCCUUUCCUGCGGCUGUUUAAUGAAAUCCUUUGCUGUUGUGGUCUCAGUCCUUUCGGCAUUUAAAAAUUGCUACAGAAUUUGCACCCCAGAUGCUUUUAGAGUCAAAUAACACCAAUCACUUGAAAAAUUGCUGCUCUGACUUCCUUUGAAGACUCCUAUCAGCACAGAAACAACUGUAGCUUAAUCACAGUUUUAUUUGAAAAAGAAGAACACAUAUUCACUUUGAUUAAACUUUUGAGUUCCUGAAGGCCAGAUCCUGUUCCCACUGGUGUCUGUGGCAAAACUCCCAUUAACUUCAAUGGCAACAAAAGCAGCCACUUAGUUUGCAUAAUCUGCAGAAAGUAAAUAUUUUAACACUUGUUAUCUGUGAUAUUUAAGCAGCUAAUAAAAAUGUGCAU